GCUGUGGCUUAGUUGCAGAGCAUCUUCUUUGCAUGCAGAAAUCCCAGGUUCAAUUCCCGGCAUCUCCA